GAGCCGAGCGGUAGAGUCUUCGGAAUCUUGAGAGCGGCGUACGGGUGCGGAACACGUGUGCAACCUGCCUUUAUCAGGGAGAUAGCCUUUCGAAAGGAAGAUUAAUACCCCAUAAUAUAUUAAGUGGCAUCACUUGAUAUUGAAAACUACGGUGGAUAGAGAUGGGCACGCGCAAGAUUAGAUAGUUGGUGAGGUAACGGCUCACCAAGUCUACGAUCUUUAGGGGGCCUGAGAGGGUGAUCCCCCACACUGGUACUGAGACACGGACCAACGGGAGGCAGCAGUGAGGAAUAUUGGACAAUGGGUGAAAGCCUGAUCCAGCCAUCCCGCGUGAAGGACGACGGCCCUAUGGGUUGUAAACUUCUUUUGUAUAGGGAUAAACCUAGAUACGUGUAUCUAGCUGAAGGUACUAUACGAAUAAGCACCGGCUAACUCCGUGCCAGCAGCCGCGGUAAUACGGAGGGUGCAAGCGUUAUCCGGAUUUAUUGGGUUUAAAGGGUCCGUAGGCGGAUCUGUAAGUCAGUGGUGAAAUCUCACAGCUUAACUGUGAAACUGCCAUUGAUACUGCAGGUCUUGAGUGUUGUUGAAGUAGCUGGAAUAAGUAGUGUAGCGGUGAAAUGCAUAGAUAUUACUUAGAACACCAAUUGCGAAGGCAGGUUACUAAGCAACAACUGACGCUGAUGGACGAAAGCGUGGGGAGCGAACAGGAUUAGAUACCCUGGUAGUCCACGCCGUAAACGAUGCUAACUCGUUUUUGGAUUUUCGGAUCAGAGACUAAGCGAAAGUGAUAAGUUAGCCACCUGGGGAGUACGUUCGCAAGAAUGAAACUCAAAGGAAUUGACGGGGGCCCGCACAAGCGGUGGAUAUGUGGUUUAAUCGAUGAUACGCGAGGAACUUCCAGGCUUAAAUGGGAAAUGACGGUUUAGAAAUAGACUUUUCUUCGGAUUUUUCAGCUGCAGGUGUCGUCAGCUCGGCCGGGGUGUACAAGCCCCGCUAUGUCGGACUACAAGGGGAACUG
rnacentral:rRNA from 1 species